UCGUAUCCGGUCGCGAUGGCGCCUAUCGUGAGACAAGGCCAGCCGACACAACACCCAAUUCAUUUUAAACAAUUAUAAUAAUACAAUUUAAGUCAUUAACAUGCUAAUAAUCCCAAAAUAAAACUGAAUUAGUACAAUUUGCGGAAAAACCAACACAGCCCGACAUCGGGGUGUCACCAGUCAUGAGCAUCUAAACAUGUGUCUAAGAGUUUGAAAGAGUUUAUACAGUCUAUUACAGAACUAGAAAUAGAAAGUAGAAUAGGAGGGAGAAACACUGGGCUGCGAACGCGGAGCAGCUACCUAGUGGACUCCGAAUAGCCUGCUGGGAGCAAUCAACCCUCACUGGCGGGACCUAAAGCUCCUGAAUCUGCACACAUGGUGCAGGGAGUAAAGUGAGUACUCCAACUCAGUGAGUAAUAAAAAUAAAUGAAGAUUGAGCGAUAAGAAAUCACGUAAAGCACAACAACAUGCUAUAAAGAGGCAGUAUAAAAUCAAUACAAUGCAACAAAAUAGUGAAAACUUGUAAAAACAAAUACCUCAAUUCAGUAAAUACCUCUUCAAAAUAUCUUUUAAAAGUUAAAAAUGUGAAUGAAAAACAAUGAGAAAAGGUAAACACAUAAAAUCAGCCUCUCGGGCACCAUAUCAAUAGAAAUCAGCCCCUCGGGCAAUAACAUGGAACAACCUCAGCCCCUCGGGCUAUGUCACAUAUCUCACUGGGUACCCGCGCUCACUGGGGGUGUACAGACUCCGGGGGGGGACCCUUUACGGUCCAAGCGCAAUAUCAAGUCAUCUCGUGGCAUAAUCAAUAGGCUCUCGGCCUCAUAUCAAGCCACCUUAUGGCGUACAACUCAGGCCCUCGGCCUCAUUGUCACACUUCCUUUUUACACCCAAGAAAGGAUAUAUAAGGAAGUUUUUCCAAUUAAAGUGACAUUAAUCAAAAUGAGAUUAUUUAUUUAAAAUCAUAGUCGCCACUUGGGAUAAUUUAUGGUGUCCCAAGUCACCGGUUUAGAAUCUCGAAUCGAGGAAAGAUUGACUCUGUUCUAUAGUCCGCGAACACAGAAAUUCGGGUAAGGAAUUCUGUUAACCCGGGAGAAGGUGUUAGGCAUUCCCGGAUUUCGUUGUUCUAGCACGGUCGCUCAACUAUUACAAUUGGCCUAUUAUCUGAUUUUAAUACAUGUUUUAGCCUAUGGUAUAUUUUAACUUAUUAACCGUUUUUAAUCAUUUUUAGGAAGAUUCAACGUUAUUUAAAACACGCCUCGAACCACGCCACAUGAAAUGCACUCGGGGUCCACGAUACAUUUUGUUUAACGUUGUUGAGAAUUGGAGUUGGGUCACAUGAAAUGCAAACCCGAGUUUAAGGAAAUUAAUUUAAAUAGCGUGCCUAAAGCAACUACGCACUUUCAAGUUUGCGAGGGCCAUGGAAAAUUCAACUAAUGGCACAUCUCGAUUUCUAAAGAGUUAAAAUUGAUUAAGUGAGAACCAUGAGUUUUGGGAUUUUAUUUGGCACGGCACGCCUCGACUUAUUACAAAAGGGCUUUAUUAUUCGAAGUGGUUAUAAUCGGGUUACAUGAAAUGUACCCCCGAAUUUGAGAAUUAGGUAUCAUGACUAUGUCACGGGAACCGUACCCAUAGUCAUGAUGAUUUAUUUACUAACCGUGCCUAAGUAUGCUCUUAACGGGUAAGUAAUUAAGAGAGCAAUAAAAUAUUUUCAAUUCACUUUUAACUUUCAGUCCAAACAUACGGCCAAAUACUUGUAGUCUCCAAGAUUUAAAUCAAACUGUACCAAACAAUUAUAUCUUAAUGGAGCAACAAGUCAGGGAAAUUAAACUCAUUUUAAGUUGAAAUAUUCUAAACAAAUAGAUAAUGAGGAAAUUACCAAACUAAACCCAUUAAAUUUUGUAAACUCAACACGUCUCAAACUUAAUGAUAAUGCCGACAACAAAUUAUAGGUGAAAGGCAUACUAAUUCGCAAUAAUUAAUAAUUAUGAAACCUCAUCGCAGAAUAGAAACAUCUAAACGGGGUUAGGAGUCAAAUCAUGGAGAAACAAAAUAACAUUCAAACCAAGAGUCUCAUUCGAACGAGCAUACCUGCUGAACAUAGAAUCAAACAAUCCAAACAAGCUUACACAGCAAUGGCUUAUACACAAUUCUUCACAGCAACGACAAAUGAUUAUGUCUCGAAGUUCGCCGGAAUCUCAAACGGCAGUCAAAACCUCGAAACCAGACACCACUAGAACUCAAUCAAACUCCCUGUUUCAGAACUCCAAAAUUUCUGGCCGAAGCUUUUGCUUUUUUUUUUUUUGGCUUCGGUACGUGUGUGUGUUAUGGUUGUUGAUGAAGCUCGACGGUGGGGAGAGGAUGAAGAAGACGAGAAUAUAGGGGGUCAUUUUUUGAUCCUGUAUUGUGCGCUAGCCUUUUCUUCUAGGUCCUCGAGUCUCCUUUUAGGUCAGCUUUUUGUCUUGUCUUUUUUGUAAUGUUUUUUGGCAGAUAUUCCUUUUGAUCUUUUAGAGAAAUGGCAGAUCAGUAAGAUUUUUUAGGUUAGGUCAAUUUAGGGAUUAGGUAAUAUUAU
rnacentral:lncRNA from 1 species